GAUGAACGCUAGCGGCAGGCCUAAUACAUGCAAGUCGUGGGAGAAUGUUGGAUUCGUCUGACAUGAAACCGGCGCACGGGUGCGUAACACGUAUGCAACCUACCUUUAACUGGGGUAUAGCUCAGAGAAAUCUGAAUUAAUCCCCCAUAAGACUACGACAUGGCAUCAUGAUGUAGUUAAAGCUCCGGCGGUUAAGGAUGGGCAUGCGGUACAUUAGCUAGUUGGUGAGGUAAUGGCUCACCAAGGCUACGAUGUAUAGGGGGUCUGAGAGGAUCAUCCCCCACACUGGUACUGAGACAUGGACCAGACUCCUACUGGAGGCAGCAGUAGGGAAUAUUGGUCAAUGGACGCAAGUCUGAACCAUCCAUGCCGCGUGAAGGAUGAAGGCCCUAUGGGUCGUAAACUUCUUUUAUUAGGGAAGAAAAAACGGGAUGCGUCCUGUACUGACGGUACUUAAUGAAUAAGGAUCGGCUAACUUCGUGCCAGCAGCCGCAGUAA
rnacentral:rRNA from 1 species